CCUCACACAGGGGGAUAACAGUUAGAAAUGACUGCUAAUACCGCAUAAGCGCACGGUACCGCAUGGUACAGUGUGAAAAACUCCGGUGGUGUGAGAUGGAUCCGCGUCUGAUUAGGUAGUUGGUGAGGUAACGGCCCACCAAGCCGACGAUCAGUAGCCGACCUGAGAGGGUGACCGGCCACAUUGGGACUGAGACACGGCCCAAACUCCUACGGGAGGCAGCAGUGGGGAAUAUUGCACAAUGGGCGAAAGCCUGAUGCAGCAACGCCGCGUGAGUGAAGAAGUAUCUCGGUAUGUAAAGCUCUAUCAGCAGGGAAGAAAAUGACGGUACCUGACUAAGAAGCCCCGGCUAACUACGUGCCAGCAGCCGCGGUAAUACGUAGGGGGCAAGCGUUAUCCGGAUUUACUGGGUGUAAAGGGAGCGCAGACGGCACUGCAAGUCUGAAGUGAAAGCCCGGGGCUCAACCCCGGGACUGCUUUGGAAACUGUAGAGCUAGAGUGCUGGAGAGGCAAGCGGAAUUCCUAGUGUAGCGGUGAAAUGCGUAGAUAUUAGGAAGAACACCAGUGGCGAAGGCGGCUUGCUGGACAGUAACUGACGUUCAGGCUCGAAAGCGUGGGGAGCAAACAGGAUUAGAUACCCUGGUAGUCCACGCCGUAAACGAUAAAUGCUAGGUGUUGGUGGGCAAAGCCCAUUUCGG
rnacentral:rRNA from 1 species